GAGAGAGUCAAGGUGGAGGGGGAGAUGAGAGGGAGAGAGAUGAAAGAGAGAAAGGAGAGACGGAAAAGGAAGACUAGGUCACAGGUGCCAACUGCCUCGUGUGGCCUUUGUAGGCACCACUGACACAGAACGAUGAGAUGUUUCUGAGACCACAUCCUACAAAGUUCCUCAAAACGCCCUGGAAGGAUCAAGCACCAGUUGCCUACAGCAUGGGCCAAGUUCCAGAAAAAUCUUGGCAUCGACUCCCUUCGUUCCUUUUUUACUCUCCCAUCCAUCAUUGCUCCCUGGGAUCACGUGAUAAAUCACCUGUAUAAAAGCCUUUGUCUGAGGCUCUCCUUUUGGAAAAAUCCAGGCUAAGACACCAUGCUUGUUCAUUUGUUAUGAGAAAAACUGUUGUCAGAUACAAACUGCCAUGGGUUAUCCAGAGACAAAAUUGUCUGCUAGGAAAAACACCUUACUCUUCAACAGUGGCCUUCACAGCACUUAGAUGCAAAGCAUUUUAUAUACAGGACCUCAAAGACAAAGUUUAUCUGCAGUGCCCUACUCCUCCCUUCCCCACUGCUUACUCUCCCUGGUGUCAGUGUCUUCUAUGUCCUAUCUCUCUGACAGUUCCAGCUCUAGACAACAGUGCCACCACUGCUCAGGGGCUAGAAGUGGCCAUGGACUGGUUAUUGGCUACCCUUGUGUUGGCUUAUUAUGGCCCAUCAGGUGGCCUAUUACGUGGCCAGGUGAGAAAGGUUCUACUCAGCUAGGUUGAGUAGAACCUAGCUACUUAUUAAAAAAUUGGACAUGAAAAUAUAUUAAAGAUUAGCUUGUCCAUGGUGACAGUGGAGGACAGCAGAUGUGCAGAGAGAAGCAGACUCAACAUGAGAAGACCAUACAGACCAGGAACCAGGGAUCCUGAGGUGUUCCCUAGAGAAACAUCAGACUCUGGACAACUUUGAAAUUCUUGGUUCAGUCCAGAUUUCCUUAUAAUAUCUGCUACCUAGUAGUUCCUCUUCUUUUUUAAGUGAGCCCAAGCAUGUCUCAGCUUUCUUAUGAGUAGAAAAACCUGGGGGACCUGAUGCCCCACACCCUGACUUUCUCCUGUUUUUCUCCAGGCCAGUAAUAAACAAUGAUAUCUAAUAGAUAUCAUCUCUCCAUAGACAGUAACUCUCUAGAGGUAGGGCGUCACCUUGAAGGGGUGAUACCAAGGCACUGGAGUAGGCCAAUAAGCGAGAGAUUUGGUGGAAGUGAGGACAGUUGCAGUGCCCCUGGGAUGACCCCGUGUAAGCAACUGCUCAGACUAUUUGCAUCUCCAGCUUCAUGGUAGGAAUUCGGUCCUGGAGAAAAUGACAGGGAUCUAUUCACAUCUGGCAAUUCUUUGACACUGGAAUGUACAUUCCACAGAAGGCUGAGCUUGUGGCUUCUCAGCAGUCCCGCCAGUGACUAAUGCCCAUGGUAUAGAGUCUACAUCCCAAAUUUUCUGGGAUUAUCCAGAUUUCAAAUAUGCUGUCCCAGGGUUGCUAUAAAUCAUUGGUCUAUUCCAUAAGUUCCAAUGACUAGUAAAUAAUUUCAAAAUAAUUCAAACUGGUGGGCAUUAAGAUAAGGAUGCACUUGUAUUCAAAUGAUAGGAUCUCACUGGCUGAAGAAAUAUUAAGGAUUCAUGGAGACACAGAUAUACUAUGUAUCUAAAGAUGCCUAGAUGCAAUCUUCUACGUCAAAAUUAUUUGAAAUAUAUUCAAAAACCUGGAAA